rnacentral:rRNA from 1 species
AUUGAACGCUGGCGGAAUGCUUUACACAUGCAAGUCGAACGGCAGCACGGACUUCGGUCUGGUGGCGAGUGGCGAACGGGUGAGUAAUGUAUCGGAACGUGCCCAGUCGUGGGGGAUAACGUAGUGAAAAUUACGCUAAUACCGCAUACGAUCUAUGGAUGAAAGCGGGGGAUCGCAAGACCUCGCGCGAUUGGAGCGGCCGAUAUCAGAUUAGGUAGUUGGUGGGGUAAAGGCCCACCAAGCCAACGAUCUGUAGCUGGUCUGAGAGGACGACCAGCCACACUGGAAAUGAGACACGGUCCAGACUCCUACGGGAGGCAGCAGUGGGGAAUUUUGGACAAUGGACGAAAGCCUGAUCCAGCCAUUCCGCGUGCAGGAUGAAGGCCCUCGGGUUGUAAACUGCUUUUGUACAGAACGAAAAGGUUUCUACUAAUACUAGGAGCUCAUGACGGUACUGUAAGAAUAAGCACCGGCUAACUACGUGCCAGCAGCCGCAGUAA